CAGCUGAUGCAGCCAUGCCGCGUGUAUGAGAAGGCCUUCGGGUUGUAAAGUACUUUCGUCGGGGAGGAAGGGAGUGAGUUAAUACCUUUGCUCAUUGACGUUACCCGCAGAAGAAGCACCGGCUAACUCCGUGCCAGCAGCCGCGGUAAUACGGAGGGUGCAAGCGUUAAUCGGAAUUACUGGGCGUAAAGCGCACGCAGGCGGUUUGUUAAGUCAGAUGUGAAAUCCCCGGGCUCAACCUGGGAACUGCAUCUGAUACUGGCAAGCUUGAGUCUCGUAGAGGGGGGUAGAAUUCCAGGUGUAGCGGUGAAAUGCGUAGAGAUCUGGAGGAAUACCGGUGGCGAAGGCGGCCCCCUGGACGAAGACUGACGCUCAGGUGCGAAAGCGUGGGGAGCAAACAGGAUUAGAUACC
rnacentral:rRNA from 1 species